GCUUUUCUUCUGUAUGUUUUGGCAAAACAAAGGGCUGUCCUUGAGAAUAUAUUGUGGCUGUGGCUUGGCAUGAAGCUAGCUGGUAAGUGUUUUUUGGGUGUAGGGUCUUAUUUCUUAAAGGACAACUUACCCCACGAAUCUCCUUUUCCUUUUUGUUGAUAGUGAAGGGCCUCUUCGUCCAGAGUCCCAGACAGUCGACAUGCGCAUACAUCAACCCCUUUUUCCUUCUUUCUUUUGCAUGAUUGGACUAAAAUUGGCACAAUGGAC
rnacentral:lncRNA from 1 species